GAUGAACGCUGGGGCGGGGCCUAUUCCUUCAAAGUGGAGGGAAAGAAGAGGGAGUUUGUUCCUCGGCGGUUGGCGGCGGAGGGGGGGGUAACCGGUGGUUAACUUACCUUUAGGACUGGGUUACCUUGGGGAACCGGGGGCUAUUCCGGGAUAUUAUAUUAAACGGCAUGGUUCAAUGGUGAAGGAGGGUUUUGUUGUCCUUUUUAGAUGGAUCCGCGCCGCAUUAGCUAGUUGGUAAGGUAACGGCUUACCAAGGCAACGAUGCGUAGCCGACCUGAGAGGGUGAUCGGCCACACUGGAACUGAGACACGGUCCAGACUCCUACGGGAGGCAGCAGUAGGGAAUCUUCCGCAAUGGGCGAAAGCCUGACGGAGCAACGCCGCGUGAGUGAUGAAGGUCUUCGGAUCGUAAAACUCUGUUAUUAGGGAAGAACAAAUGUGUAAGUAACUAUGCACGUCUUGACGGUACCUAAUCAGAAAGCCACGGCUAACUACGU
rnacentral:rRNA from 1 species